rnacentral:rRNA from 1 species
CAACAUCGAUUUCGACUCAAAAGUUCCCUAAACCCUCCCACCUAGAGGAAGGAGAAGUCGUAACAAGGUUUCCGUAGGUGAACCUGCGGAAGGAUCAUUG